rnacentral:rRNA from 1 species
CCUACGGGAGGCAGCAGUGAGGAAUAUUGGUCAAUGGACGCAAGUCUGAACCAGCCAUGCCGCGUGCAGGAAGACGGAUCUAUGAGUUGUAAACUGCUUUUGUACGAGGGUAAACGCAGAUACGCGUAUCUGUCUGAAAGUAUCGUACGAAUAAGGAUCGGCUAACUACGUGCCAGAAGCCGCGGUAAUACGGAGGAUUCAAGCGUUAUCCGGAUUGAUUGGGUUUAAAGGGUGCGUAGGCGGUCGGAUAAGUUAGAGGUGAAAUCCCGAGGCUCAACUUCGGAAUUGCCUCUGAUACUGUUCGGCGAGAGAGUAGUUGCGGUAGGCGGAAUGUAUGGUGUAGCGGUGAAAUGCUUAGAGAUCAUACAGAACACCGAUUGCGAAGGCAGCUUACCAAGCUACUUCUGACGUUGAGGCACGAAAGCGUGGGGAGCAAACAGGAUUAGAUACCCUUGUAGUC